ensembl:lncRNA
CCCGUAUCCACGGGCGUCCCCGGGUAGUCGGUGGGGACCCCCAGCCCAACCGGCGAUGCUCCCCAACGCACAGACACGGCACCAGGAACCUCCUACGCCCAAGGGAGGACUCGGGGUGCACCAUCAACAUCUCAGGCUUGCCUUAUUCCCCCCACACUGAUGUUUACACCUCACCUCUUUCCCUUUUUUUCCUUCUCAAAAUGAAACCAGUUUGACUGAAGGGCGUCGAUAAUGGGUCCGCCAGGUGAGGUGCAGCUUGUGAAACAAUAAAACUGGAAGUCUUGUUGACGAGAUGCCAGCUUGAACCGGUACUGGAAGUUCUUAGUUUUUCUUUUUCUUUUUUAGACCUAAACGAAAGAGAAAUCCAUGCAAAGCUUUCCUUUUUUGUUGUUGUUUCUCUAGUGCUUUGUAGUUUGGCCUAUAUAUAUUUACUAGUAGUGACUGAGGAAAGACAUGCUUUUAUUUUAUACCAUCUUUUUAAUGUUUUUGUACGGUACUUUAAUUUUGGCACUACACCAGUGUUUUGAAGUUUAUCUUGUAAACUGGAAGGUGAUUGUGGUGCCUUUGUCCAAAGUAACAAAAAAUACCUGGGUAAUGCUUGAAAUGCGUGUAAAAAAAAAAAAAGAAAGUGUCUGUUUUGUACUGUUUAAAAAAAACGAGCCUUCUUUGAUACUUUUUGAAGCUAUUUUUCUAUGUUUUUGUAUUCUGACAUCUUUCCUGAAGCAACUGUUGCGGAUUGUGCUAUUGCUUUGAGAACGCUGCUCUUCUUCGAUUCGACGUCUUAAAUCUUUCCAAGAAGCGAUCAAAGCUGUUUCCGGAAAAUUAUAACAUAACGGUUCAGUGCAAAUAUCUCGCCUUGAGGUGACUAAAUUGUCUUUUCUUGAGUUCUUUCUACUCUAUGUUAGGCCAGUGUUUAUGAACUAAAGUUUGUAGUUCAUGAUAGCAUUACAUUUCAACAGAAGUCUUUGCCGGUUGGCCACAUUAAAGACCUGCACACUGCAAGACAUCCAUGUUCUUUUAAGUUAUUUAGAUUUGGGUGAUGGGGCAGAGCAAGGCCCCAUGUCAGACGGUUGAGUGACGUGUCCGUUGAGUGUAUUCUCCGAACACGGAAGCUGGGGGUUUUGGUUAGAAAGAUAAAACUUCCGUUCAGUUCCAUGAGAGGCCAAAUGCCGCCAAAUGCCUUUGUUGGCGACCAAAGCUGCCACCGUUUUUUGUAUUCUGAAUCAUCUCGUUAAUUUUUUCAAACUUGCUUUUUUGGUACCCUUUUUUAUACCCGUUUGUAUUGAUAGUAUUUUACUGGUUAGUUUUUAAAAUAAACUUUUUACACCAAAACUUCUUGUGUCUUCAAUGUUGUUUUUUGCUCUACAUGUUGGGAUAGAGCUCGCAGUACAUCAACUUGAAGGGGUUGUCUUUUCAGCGGUUCUGGUGCUGUGGAAACCUGCACCUGCAUUUCUGUCGACUACAUUUAAAAUAUACUUUUUUAAUAUGUAUUGAUUUUCUAGAGUUUCGAGGGCCAGCUAUCUAACGAUCCCCUAGAUUGUUAUGGUUUACAGUCACAGGCAAAGUUACAUGAGACCUCGGUAUGCUACAAUUGACGGGCACCCUGCAGUCUCUUGGCGGCCCUGGCUUCAGGUGAAAUUAGAGGAGCAGCUGGUCCAUGGUCAGAUCUCCUGUCUCCCACAAGAUAGCCCCCAUCCUGAUGCAGAACGAACCCCCUCCCCCCAAUGGCUGUUCUGCAUUAAAGCUCCACUGCAGCCAGCUCUUGACAGUUUGGGAGCCAGACCUUUGUCCAGGCCAAUAUGUAGAUACUAGCCAUACCUAAAGCAAACCAGCCAUACAUGUAGAUACUAGCCAUACCUGCAGCAUACAAGCCAUAUGUGUAGAUUCUAGCUAUAACUGCAGCAUACUAGCCCUAUGUGCACAUCACUCAACUGCUAUCCCUAAUAAUCAAAGCAUAAAAUGAA